UACGUAGGGGGCAAGCGUUGUCCGGAUUUAUUGGGCGUAAAGAGCGUGUAGGCGGCUAGGUAGGUCCGUUGUGAAAACUCGAGGCUCAACCUCGAGACGUCGAUGGAAACCAUCUAGCUAGAGUCCGGAAGAGGAGAGUGGAAUUCCUGGUGUAGCGGUGAAAUGCGCAGAUAUCAGGAAGAACACCCGUGGCGAAGGCGGCGCUCUGGUACGUGACUGACGCUGAGACGCGAAAGCGUGGGGAGCAAACAGG
rnacentral:rRNA from 1 species